rnacentral:rRNA from 1 species
AUUGAACGCUGGCGGCAUGCCUCACACAUGCAAGUCGAACGGUAACGGGCCUUCGGGUGCCGACGAGUGGCGAACGGGUGCGUAAUACAUCGGAACGUGCCCGAUCGUGGGGGAUAACGAGGCGAAAGCUUUGCUAAUACCGCAUACGAUCUACGGAUGAAAGCAGGGGACCGCAAGGCCUUGCGCGGACGGAGCGGCCGAUGGCAGAUUAGGUAGUUGGUGGGAUAAAAGCUUACCAAGCCGACGAUCUGUAGCUGGUCUGAGAGGAUGAUCAGCCACACUGGGACUGAGACACGGCCCAGACUCCUACGGGAGGCAGCAGUGGGGAAUUUUGGACAAUGGGCGCAAGCCUGAUCCAGCCAUGCCGCGUGCAGGAUGAAGGCCUUCGGGUUGUAAACUGCUUUUGUACGGAACGAAAAGCCUUCUUUUAAUACAGGAGGGUCAUGACGGUACCGUAAGAAUAAGCACCGGCUAACUACGUG